rnacentral:rRNA from 1 species
CAGUCGCCGCGGUAAUACGAAGGGUGCAAGCGUUAAUCGGAAUUACUGGGCGUAAAGCGCGCGUAGGUGGUUUGGUAAGAUGGAUGUGAAAUCCCCGGGCUCAACCUGGGAACUGCAUCCAUAACUGCCUGACUAGAGUACGGUAGAGGGUGGUGGAAUUUCCUGUGUAGCGGUGAAAUGCGUAGAUAUAGGAAGGAACACCAGUGGCGAAGGCGACCACCUGGACUGAUACUGACACUGAGGUGCGAAAGCGUGGGGAGCAAACAGGAUUAGAUACCCCGGUAGUCCCUGUCUCUUACAC